rnacentral:rRNA from 1 species
GACGAACGCUGGCGGCGUGCUUAACACAUGCAAGUCGAACGGAAAGGCCCUGCUUUUGUGGGGUGCUCGAGUGGCGAACGGGUGAGUAACACGUGAGUAACCUGCCCUUGACUUUGGGAUAACUUCAGGAAACUGGGGCUAAUACCGGAUAGGAGCUCCUGCUGCAUGGUGGGGGUUGGAAAGUUUCGGCGGUUGGGGAUGGACUCGCGGCUUAUCAGCUUGUUGGUGGGGUAGUGGCUUACCAAGGCUUUGACGGGUAGCCGGCCUGAGAGGGUGACCGGCCACAUUGGGACUGAGAUACGGCCCAGUCUCCUGCGGGAGGCAGCAGUGGGGAAUAGUGCACAAUGGGCGGACGCCUGAUGCAGCAACGCCGCGUGCGGGAUGACGGCCUUCGGGGUGUAAACCGCUUUCGCCUGGGACGAAGCGUGAGUGACGGUAAGGGGUAAAGAAGCACCGGCUAACUACG